GAUUCCUUUUGUAUCUUUUCACAGCAGGCAUUCAAUAAGUGGUGUUGACAGCCUGACUCAAGUUUAAAGAGAAGCAGGAAAACUCAGAGAGUAGAGUCAGAAGUUUAAAGCAAAUUGAAAAAAGAGCGCCUGAAAAGUAUUAGCUCACCAGAAGAAAACCAGCAAAGAUCUCAUGGAAACAUACAUAAAAGAAAAGGGGAUGCAUAGGAAUCUGGAAAACUGGGAAGAGUGACCAAAACCCAGAAGAGUGGUGCAUUUUUUGAAAGAAACAGAACAUGUAAUAUUCGGCCGACAAUGGAACGCGAGAUUGCUGAAAAGCACAAGGCAGGCAAAGAGAAAAACCCACCUUUUCCUCCAGGUGGUAUGUUUUGGAGAAGGAGGCCUUGUGAGGUCUGAUUGGUAAUUAAUAAAAGGGCUGUGAAGUAGUUCUGCCAAGGGUACUAAUCAGUUGUCAAGUGCAAGCGAAAAUUACUCUGAAUGAAGCAGAUACGGAUUGGCGUGGCUCACAGAAUUGCCAGAAGGCUGGAGAACCAGGACGGAGGCUGGGCCGCCAGGAGCAACAACUCCAAGCCACAGAAGUGGCCUUGCUAUGGAAUCUCUACAACCCUAUUCAGGUAGUAUUGCAAUGACUUACCAUUGAGCCACUUCUGCUCCAGGAAGUGAAUUUUGCAGGCGUGGGCACAGAUCUUCACUUUCAGAGCUUCAAAUCCGGCACAGAUGUAUUUUGAUUGGCAGAGUCUAAGUCUGAUAACUAGAAAAGAGAAUCACAAGAGCUUCGGUUUUUUAUAAAGGGGGCAUUCUUUGCCUCAGCAAGACUCCUACGGUGGAAAAUUCUCCUAACAUGGAAAAGGGUUCAGAGGCUGGAUGAAGGGAAACUAAUGACAAAUGUCUAUUCAUUACUAUUUUCCACUGUUUCCUAAUUUGGCCUCAGGAUAGAGUUGGAGGGGUACAAUAUGAAUAAGGAAUUCGAAUUUAGACAUUCUCACAAGAGAUUAUGAGAGUUAUAGAGUACAAGGUAUGGAGAAGGUUCCAGACAACUUAUGUCUACUAUGAAGAAUGGGUGCCUCCCCUUCCUGAACAAGUGAAAUAUUCUCAUGCAUUUACAACAUGCUAGCCCACCACAAGUCCCGCCUUUUGCUCCAUUACAUAACUGCUGGACAUAGGACUCCUCAUUGAGACUCAUUUUCCCCCCUCUAUGGGUAUUUUCAGUGUUUCUUAGAUGCUAAUCUAAAAAUACAAACAUUCAACAAAGUCCCAGACAUGUAAGGAAACUCAAAAGAGAAGAGAUUCAACAAAAUUAAGAAAUGAUCACACCAAAAUUUUAAUAUAGGAAAAACAAAAAUACUUAUUAGUACCCUCUAGGAGAGAAUAAAAUGACAGACUUCAAUAGAAAAGCAAAUUUGAAGCCUUGAGAAUUAAGAAACAUGGUAACUAAACUAAAAGUAAAUACCGAGGGGUUAGAUUAGGAGAAAUGAUACAGCUAAACUCAUGAUACAGGAACUAAACUCAUGAAUUGGAAGAUUGAUCCAAAUAAUUUUUUUAACCUUAUUAAGUGGUAAUUGAAAACCGUACUUGUAUAUAUUUAAAGUGCAUGUGAUGGGUUGAUAUACAUAUACAUUGUAGAAUGAUUACCAACAUCAAGAUAAUUAACACAUCUAACCUGUCACAUAGUUAACUCUCUUUUGUUCGGUAAGAAUGCUUAAGAUCUAGCAACUUUCCAACGUGGUGGAGAAGUAGGGGGAUCCGAAGUUCCCUCAUCUCUCAAACACAGUAGUGUUGAGGCCAACAGACUUUGAACUCCAAGAGUCCAGGAAGCAAAGUGACAGAGAUGCCUCCGGGCACUGGGACAACCUGGCGGGCCAUAGAUGCAUGAUUGCAAACUGGGAGAGAGAAAACCCGCAGCAGAGGAAUGGAGGGAAGGGAUCCCCUCCUGCGGAGAGACAAAGGGAAGAGAAAGGGAGGCUGGGGAAGUGUAGGACUGUAUCUGGACAAGGAAAAAACCAGGGACCAGGA